rnacentral:rRNA from 1 species
GACGAACGCUGGCGGCGUGCUUAACACAUGCAAGUCGAACGGAAAGGCCCUGCUUGCAGGGUACUCGAGUGGCGAACGGGUGAGUAACACGUGGGUGUUCUGCCCUUCACUUCGGGUUAAGCCUGGGAAACUGGGUCUAAUACCGGAUAGGAGCCAUUUUUAGUGUGAUGGUUGGAAAGUUUUUUCGGUGUAGGAUGAGCUCGCGGCCUAUCAGCUUGUUGGUGGGGUAAUGGCCUACCAAGGCGGCGACGGGUAGCCGGACUGAGAGGGUGGACGGCCACAUUGGGACUGAGAUACGGCCCAGACUCGUACGGGAGGAAGCAGGGGGGAAUAUUGAACAAUGGGCGCAAGCCUGAUGCAGCGACGCCGCGUGGGGGAUGACGGCCUUCGGGUUGAAAACUCCUUUCGCUAGGGACGAAGCUUUUUGUGACGGUACCUAGAUAAGAAGCACCGGCUAACUACGUG